rnacentral:rRNA from 1 species
GAUGAACGCUGGCGGCGUGCCUAAUACAUGCAAGUCGAGCGAACGGACGAGAAGCUUGCUUCUCUGAUGUUAGCGGCGGACGGGUGAGUAACACGUGGAUAACCUACCUAUAAGACUGGGAUAACUUCGGGAAACCGGAGCUAAUACCGGAUAAUAUUUUGAACCGCAUGGUUCAAAAGUGAAAGACGGUCUUGCUGUCACUUAUAGAUGGAUCCGCGCUGCAUUAGCUAGUUGGUAAGGUAACGGCUUACCAAGGCAACGAUGCAUAGCCGACCUGAGAGGGUGAUCGGCCACACUGGAACUGAGACACGGUUCAGACUCCUACGGGAGGCGGCAGUAGGGAAUCUUCCGCAAUGGGCGAAAGCCUGACGGAGCAACGCCGCGUGAGUGAUGAAGGUCUUCGGAUCGUAAGACUCUGUUAUUAGGGAAGAACAUAUGUGUAAGUAACUGUGCACAUCUUGACGGUACCUAAUCAGAAAGCCACGGCUAACUACGUG